CAAUAGCGUAUAUUAAAGUUGUUGCAGUUAAAAAGCUCGUAGUUGAAUUUUGGGCCCGGAUGGGCGGUCCGCUUCACGGCGUGUACUGUCCGGCUGGGCCUUUCCUCUUGGUGAUCUGUCGUACUUGUGCGGCAGUGGAACCAGGGCCUUUACUUUGAAGAAAUUAGAGUGUUCAAAGCAGGCUAGACGCCCGAAUAUAUUAGCAUGGAAUAAUAAAAUAGGACGUGCGGUUCUAUUUUGUUGGUUUUUGGAAUCGCCGUAAUGAUUAAUAGGGACGGUCGGGGGCAUUAGUACUCACAUGCUAGAGGUGAAAUUCUUGGAUUUUGUGAAGACUAACUUCUGCGAAAGCAUUUGCCAAGGACGUUUUCAUUAA
rnacentral:rRNA from 1 species